rfam:Providencia rettgeri DSM 1131 genomic scaffold Scfld3, whole genome shotgun sequence.
AAUGGUUACUGAUACCGGAUACGGGCGUCGAGGCAACUCUACGCCCGUUCCGCAUGUUAAGGGUAAAAUUAAAUGG